GGAGCCAUCGGAGCGGCGCGGGUUCUCAGGUGAGCGCUCCGUGGUCGCGGCGGGCGGGCCAGCGCCGGGAGCUCACGCACCGGAUCCGCGCCGGCUGCGCGGGCGUAGGCGGAGCGUACGGAGGAGUCGCGGGGGCCCUGGCCGGGGUCCGGCCCUCGGGUCUCCGGCCUCAGGCGGGAAGGGGCUCCGGACCUGCGGUGGCAGGGAGGCAAAAUGAUUUCUCUCCCCCAAGCCUGGAACAGCUGAAGGAAACAACAGUACAAGAUGAGAACCACAAAGGUCUACAAACUCGUCAUCCACAAGAAGGGCUUUGGGGGCAGUGAUGAUGAGCUAGUCGUGAACCCCAAGGUGUUUCCUCACAUCAAGCUUGGGGACAUUGUGGAGAUUGCUCACCCCAACGAUGAGUACAGCCCUCUGCUUUUGCAGGUCAAAUCACUUAAGGAGGAUUUGCAGAAAGAAACAAUCAGUGUGGACCAGACUGUGACUCAAGUGUUCCGACUAAGACCUUAUCAAGAUGUGUAUGUGAAUGUUGUGGACCCUAAGGAUGUGACCCUUGACCUCGUGGAAUUAACCUUUAAGGAUCAAUAUAUUGGCCGUGGGGAUAUGUGGCGGCUAAAGAAAAGUUUGGUCAGCACAUGUGCCUAUAUCACUCAGAAGGUGGAAUUUGCUGGCAUCAGGGCACAGGCUGGUGAACUGUGGGUCAAGAAUGAGAAAGUCAUGUGUGGUUAUAUCAGCGAAGAUACAAGGGUGGUGUUCCGUUCUACGUCGGCUAUGGUUUACAUAUUUAUUCAGAUGAGCUGUGAAAUGUGGGACUUUGAUAUUUAUGGGGAUCUGUAUUUUGAGAAAGCUGUGAAUGGUUUCCUUGCUGAUCUCUUUACCAAAUGGAAGGAGAAGAACUGUAGUCAUGAAGUGACAGUGGUCCUUUUCUCUAGGACUUUCUACGAUGCAAAAUCUCUUGAUGAAUUUCCUGAAAUAAACCGAGCCUCAGUUAGGCAGGAUCACAAGGGGCGAUUCUAUGAAGACUUCUAUAAAGUGGUGGUGCAGAACGAAAGGAGAGAAGAGUGGACCUCACUCCUCGUGACCAUCAAAAAACUCUUCAUCCAGUAUCCAGUGUUGGUGCGACUGGAACAGGCAGAGGGCUUUCCCCAAGGAGACAAUUCUACCUCAGCACAAGGAAACUACUUGGAGGCCAUCAACCUGUCGUUCAAUGUGUUUGACAAGCACUACAUCAACCGCAACUUUGAUCGAACUGGGCAAAUGUCGGUGGUGAUCACGCCCGGGGUGGGUGUGUUUGAAGUGGACCGCCUGCUCAUGAUCCUGACCAAGCAGCGGAUGAUAGACAACGGAAUUGGCGUGGACUUGGUGUGCAUGGGGGAGCAGCCACUCCACGCUGUCCCGUUGUUCAAGCUGCACAAUCGGACCGCCCCUCGGGGUUCUCGCCUGGGCGACGACUACAAUAUUCCUCACUGGAUAAACCACAGUUUCUACACAUCCAAAAGCCAGCUGUUCUGUAAUAGUUUCACCCCACGAAUAAAACUGGCAGGAAAGAAGCCUGCCUCUGAGAGAGCAAAGAACGGCCGUGAUGCCUCUCUGGGGACACCAAAGGAAUCCGAGAAUGCAAUUCCCAUCCAAGUUGAUUACGACGCUUACGAUGCGCAAGUGUUCAGGCUGCCCGGCCCGUCCCGGGCUCAGCGACUCGCCACAUGCAGGUCUGUGCGAGAGCGGGAGAGUCACAAUCGGAAGAGCUCCAGCUCCUGCGACGUGUCCUCCAGCCCGUCCUUGCCUGGCCGUGCGCUGCCCGCUGAGGAAGUGAGGAGCCAGGCUUCUGACGACAGCUCCCUGGGCAGGAGUGCCAACAUCCUGGUGACCCCUCACCCCCACCUGCACCAGUAUGAAGUCAGCAGCUCCCUGGGCUACACCAGCACUCGAGACGUCCUGGAGAACAUGGCCGAGCCGCCGCAGCGGGACUCCAGCGCACCGGGCAGGUUCCAUGUGGGCAGCGUGGAGUCCAUGCUGCACGUGCGCCCCGGGGGAUGCCCGCCCCAGCGGGCGCUGAUUAACCCUUUCGCCCCCUCGCGGAUGCCCAUGAAGCUCACGUCCAACAGGAGGCGUUGGAUGCACACGUUUCCUGUGGGGCCAUCCGGAGAGGCCAUCCAGAUCCAUCACCAGACCCGGCAGAAUAUGGCGGAGCUGCAGGGCAGUGGGCAGAGGGACCCCACCCACUCCUCCGCGGAGCUGCUGGAGUUAGCGUAUCAUGAAGCCGCUGGCAGGCACAGCGCUUCCCGCCAGCCCGGUGACGGCAUGUCCUUCUUGAACUUCAGUGGCACAGAAGAGCUUUCCGCCAGCCUGCUUAGCAGCAGCGGUGCAGGUACAAAUCCUAGGAUCCAGAAUAAGGAUUCUCUAGAGGACAGUAUUUCUACCUCUCCAGACCCAAUUCUGACGCUGUCUGCUCCCCCUGUAGUGCCAGGCUUCUGUUGCACAGUUGGCGUGGACUGGAAGUCUCUCACGACUCCCGCGUGCCUCCCCCUCACCACGGACUACUUCCCCGACCGCCAGGGCCUGCAGAACGACUACACCGAGGGCUGCUACGAUCUCCUCCCCGAGGCCGACAUUGACAGGAGGGACGAGGAAGGGGUGCAGAUGACGGCCCAGCAGGUAUUUGAGGAGUUCGUCUGCCAGCGGCUCAUGCAGGGCUACCAGAUCAUCGUGCGGCCCAAGGCGCAGGAGCCCAACCCCGCCGUCCCGCCCCCACUGAGCAGCAGCCCGCUUUACAGCCGUGGACUUGUGUCCCGAAACCGUCCUGAGGAGGAAGACCAGUACUGGCUGAGUAUGGGCAGAACUUUCCAUAAGGUGACCCUAAAGGACAAGAUGAUCACAGUCACACGAUACCUUCCCAAGUACCCUUAUGAGUCUGCACAGAUCCACUACACCUACAGCCUCUGCCCUUCCCACUCGGACUCAGAGUUCGUCUGCUGCUGGGUGGAGUUCUCCCAUGAGCGGCUGGAGGAGUACAAGUGGAAUUACUUAGAUCAGUACAUCUGCUCUGCCGGCUCCGAGGACUUCAGCUUAAUCGAGUCCCUGAAGUUCUGGAGGACCCGCUUCCUGCUACUGCCAGCCUGUGUCACGGCCACCAAGCGCAUCACGGAGGGCGAGGCACACUGUGACAUCUAUGGGGACAGGCCGCGGGCAGACGAGGAGGAGUGGCAGCUCCUGGAUGGCUUCAUCCGCUUUGUGGAGGGCUUGAACCGCAUCCGCCGGCGGCACCGCUCGGACCGCCUGAUGCGGAAAGGGACCACCAUGAAAGGCCUGCAGAUGACGGGGCCCAUCCCCACACACUCCCUCGAGUCGACCGGCCCCCCCAUUGGGAAGAAGGGAACCUCAGCUCUGUCAGCCCUGCUGGAGAUGGAGGCCAGUCAGAAGUGCCUGGGAGAACCGCAGGCGACACAUGGGGGCAAGAGCUGCGCCCCGCCGGCCGAGAGCAGCGGCGUGGCCAUGACCCCCACCUACGUGGACAGCCCCCGAAAGGACGGGGCCUUCUUUAUGGAGUUUGUCCGCAGCCCGCGCACCGCGUCGUCCGCCCUCCACCCGCAGGUGUCUCUGGACCAGACGGCCGCCCCGGUGUUGGACGGCACCAGCUUGGGGGUAAGCACAGGCCAGUCCGUGGACAGAGGCAACAGCCAGACCUUUGGGAACUCCCAGGGCUCAGGGGAACAGGGCUUCCCCUCUGCAAUCUCCAGCGACAGCAGCUCUCAGCAGCUGGCAGCCAGCUCCUUGACGUCGUCCUCCACCCUAGUGGAGAUCUUGGAGGCCAUGAAGCACCCCUCGACAGGAGUUCAGCUGCUCCCUGAACAGAAGGGGCUCUCGCCCUGCUGCUUCAUCAGUGCGGAGGUGGUGCACUGGCUGGUGAACAACGUGGAGGGGGUCCAGACGCAGGCCAUGGCCAUUGACAUCAUGCAGAAAAUGCUGGAAGACCAGCUCAUCACACACGCCUCCGGCGAAGUCUGGCGGACUUUCAUCUACGGCUUCUAUUUCUACAAGAUAGUGAUGGACAAAGAGCCUGAGCGAGUGGCCAUGCAGCAGCCCACCACCUGGCACACCACAGCCGUGGAUGACUUCGCCAGCUUCCAGCGCAAGUGGUUCGAGGUGGCCUUUGUGGCCGAAGAGCUCCUGCACUCCGAGAUCCCCGCCUUCCUGCUGCCCUGGCUGCCCAGCCGGCCGGCCUCCUACGCCAGCAGACACAGCUCCUUCAGCCGCAGCUUUGGGGGACGGAGCCAGGCAGCUGCGCUCUUAGCGGCCACCGUCCCGGAGCAGAGGACCGUGACCCUGGACGUCGACGUGAACAACCGCACGGACCGCCUGGAGUGGUGCAGCUGCUACUACCACGGCAACUUCUCGCUGAACGCAGCCUUCGAGAUCAAGCUGCACUGGAUGGCGGUGACUGCCGCUGUGCUCUUCGAGAUGGUCCAAGGCUGGCAUCGAAAGGCCACCUCCUGUGGCUUUUUGCUGGUGCCAGUUCUGGAGGGUCCCUUCGCGCUGCCCAGUUACCUGUACGGCGACCCGCUCCGGGCCCAGCUCUUCAUCCCACUCAACAUCAGCUGCCUCCUCAAGGAAGGCAGCGAGCACCUGUUCGACAAUUUUGAACCGGAAACAUACUGGGAUCGAAUGCACCUUUUCCAGGAAGCCAUUGCACACAGGUUUGGGUUUGUACAAGAUAAAUAUUCCGCCGCUGCUUUUAACUUCCCUGCGGAGAACAAGCCUCAGUACAUCCAUGUCACAGGCACGGUCUUCCUGCAGCUGCCCUACUCCAAGCGCAAGUUCUCGGGGCAGCCGCGGCGGCGGCGGAACUCGACCAGCUCCAGCAACCAAAACAUGUUCUGUGAGGAGCGGGUGGGCUACAGCUGGGCCUACAACACCAUGCUGACCAAGACGUGGCGCUCCAGCGCCACGGGCGACGAGAAGUUUGCCGACCGGCUGCUGAAGGACUUCACAGACUUCUGCGUCAACCGCGACAACCGGCUGGUGGCCUUCUGGACGAGCUGCCUGGAGAGGAUGCAUGCCAGCGCCCCGUGACGGCCGCCCGGGUGGGGACCGGCCAGGUCAGGCAGGCCCGGUGUGGGGUGGGGCCGGGGCUGCCGCCUCCCCAGCGUCCAUCCACCCCAGGAGGAGGCUUCGCAGCCUGGUUCCCGCAGCAGCAAUGCCGUCCUCAGCUGGGCAGCUAUGCACCGUCACCAGGCCCUAAUGGCGAGUGAGGCAGCCACAGACGGGAGGACUUCACAAUUCACCUGGGGACCCUGGCUGUUGCAGGCCCUUGGUGGGGAGGAGAGUUUCAGGCGGGCCUCCUGAGCAGAGAGAAAAGUCCCAGGAAAGCUUCUGUUGACUGUGAUUGACGUGAGGACGCACUGCUUAACGGGAUAAGACUCGGCAGGGCCCUCCACCUCAGCGCCCGCCCUCACCUGCCAGGGUUGGAAGGGCCCGACAGAUGCCCCCACUUCUCCUCCACCCCUGUUGAUCUGUCUCCUCAGUAGCCUGUGAAUCCGUCCCCUCCCCCAGGCCCCUGGCUGCUGCUCUCAGCCUGGCCCUCACCCCUUCCUCUCCUUCCUCCCCCUGCACAGCCAGGAGGGCCUCCCACCAUGGCUCUGCUUUCCCUCAGGCCCUUCUCCACUUGGAAGCCAGAGUCCUUUUUAAAAAUCACUCUGAUUGUGCCCCCUACUACGUAGACCUCUCUGGUGACUUGAACUUGAAAACUCGCAGAUGUGGCUUCAUGAUCUGGUCCCGUGCUAUCUCUUCAGCCAGCGGGAACAUCACCAACUCUUUAGUGGCUCAGAUCCUUUGUACAUGCUGUUCCAACUGCCUGGAACGCUGUUCCUCACUCACUCCUGGUCGUCAGCCAUCAGCUCGUAGCUCAAAGGUCCCUUGUCCAGGGAAGCUCAGUGGGACCUGGUUACAUCUUCCCACGGCACCUCGUCCUUCUCUGACCACACCCUUACGCUCAACAUGUCAGGAGCCUUGCCUAUUUUGUUCAUCCUUUUGUUCCUAAAUGUUCAGCAGAAUCGUAGAUGCUGGAGGGGCGGUUGUUGGCUAAGUGUGUAGGGUGAAUGAACGAGCUGGACUCGAGGGCCAAGCACCGGGGGUCACGUCCGAAUCUACCCCCUCACCACCUGAGCUCCCAAGUAAUGGAGCCUGCAAAACAGGUGGGUAUGAGAGGACUUAACUGACUAGCAGGCAGUAAGCAAGUGAAGGCGGGAGUCCUCUGCCCAUGCUGCUGUGCUGGCUUCCUGAGUGGUCGUGCCGGACAUGGCAGCUGCUGGCCUGUUCAGAUCAGUCACCUGGUAUCCUUGGUAUCCUGCAUGUAAGGCCAGCAGUCGUCCCUGCCUUCUGCCCUCUUCCCUCUUACAAAGAUGACUCAGGAGGCCCCGUGGGUGAUUGUGUGGGAGCAGAGACAGCCGACAAGUUAAAAUGCUGGGUCUCCCACCCUUCGGAGCUGGACCUGAAACUCACGUGCCCUCGAACUGCUUCCCGCAGCCCUCCUCUCUGCCCCGCACCUCCUGCCACCCACUUGUCCAAGCCAGAACCUGGAGUCAAACCGAAUCCUUCUCCUCCUCCUCCAUUGUCCUCCCACUGCUCCCUCCCUCCCUCCUGGCUGCCCAGGUGCAGAGCCAGCCCUCGGGGAGGGCGUGGCUUGCUUAGACUUGGAGAAUGGGUGCGGAUUGCAAGCCCACCAUCAGUUGUGUAGGUGUGAUAACCACUUCCUAGUGGAAAGAGAAAAGCAGUAGGAGGACCUGGGGUUAAAUUCCAGCCCUGCCGCCUCAGCUGCAAGAACCAAGGCUGGUUCUGUCUCCUGAGCCUGUUUCCUCAUCUGUUAAGUAGGGAUGACGUGGCCUCAGCUUCCUUCCCAGCCCCAUCCACCCACACACACCUGCACUCACACCUCUGUGUAUUUCUCUUCCGUGCUUGUGACGCCCUCAUUAUUUGCUGACCUGUUUCAGCUCACUCAGCUGGGAAUUUCUUCUGGCACAUUCUUCAGUGACAGUGGAAAGAGUGAGAUCAAAGGGGCAUGUGCAGGCAGCAGGGGCCCCUCACAAGGCCCGGCCCAUGGGAGGGACACACGAAUUGUAAGAGCGACCUUGCAGAGGUCACCUAGACCCGGCUCCCUGAGCUGAAUCCUGGAAGGCACUUAAUCAUGGUGAGAAGUGACACGCUGAGGCCCA